GCAGGUCCUGUAGGUGAGGACAUGUUCCACUGGCAGGUCACUAUCAUGGGACCCUCGGACAGCCCGGUUACCGGUGGUCUAUUUUUGGUGAACAUCCAUUUCCCACAGGAUUAUCCCUUCAAGCCCCCGAAGGUCUCUUUCCGCACCAAGGUGUUCCACUCAAACAUCAGAACAACGAGCAUUUGCCUUGACAUUCUCAAGGAACAGUGGAGCCCGGCUUUGACCAUAUCAAAGGUAAUCUGCAUUCCUAGCUUGGUGGCUGCUGCUUGA
rnacentral:rRNA from 1 species